UCCAUAAGAGAAUGUAGAAAAUUCAUGUCCUAGUCUGUUGGAAGGACCCUGCUGUUUGAAGUUGCAGUCCUCCCAGUCUGGAUAGACAUUCUGAGCUGGGCAUUAAGGUGAAGGACUCCCUCUCCCCAGCAGGGCCUCCUACUCUCUGCCUGACUUCAUCUGGAGAGUGUCUUUAGACAUAGAUGCCCCUACCCACAUUUGAUAUAUGGCCUUUGACACAGCUCCCUGCUAGCUCUCCCCUCCCUGUGCCUAUAGGAUUAAGAGGUACUGUGUUCCUGUUUAUAUGAUAGGAGUAUGCUGUUUAAUGCAAAUCAAGCAUCCUUGAAGUGCCUAGUUCCAACCAAUUAUGUACACCAUUCCUGGGAGACCCCUACCCACUCCCCAAGGACUAUAAAGCCUUUGUUCUCCCAAAUUAAAGUUGAACUAGCUCCCUGAAGUGGUUCCCAGAGUGUUUGAUCUCCAUUGUGCUCUUAGCCUUCCAAGUUCUGUGCCUUGCCUUUUGCUUUUCCUGCCUUGGUGGUCUGGUGGCCAACAGCCUCCCCCUCCCCCAGGAAGGAAGAGAACCACAAUAUUCUCUAUGUGUUACCACUGGGACUCUAUAGCUAUUCUGAUUUAAAAGAAAGAGGAAGAAAUUAUUAAUACUUCAAGCUAUUGCUCAGCCCUCGUAUGAAAUUUCUCCAAAGCCAUGCCUAUUCCUGGAAGCCUCUGGAGCUGCCCAUCAAAACACAAAGAGAAGCCAGCCUGAAGCCAUGUUGAUUGAUGCCCAUGGGUGGUGCUGCUGCUGGAAGCCAUAUUUAUCUGAGUAACCUGCCAUGGUGAUCUCUGCGGUCUGGACUGCCCAAGGCCUUAGUGAUGUCUGCUGUCUGGACUGCCUCCAGUGGGCCUUGUUUGGAUCCGUGGGGCUGGUGGUCAUGUUUGUAGUCUGUGCUGUCAUCAGAAAUCCUGUGGAAGCCCAUGAUCCAUGCUUCUGCUAACUAAAGAGUAUGGAAACUAUUUUUGCAGUGAUAUUGAUGAUUGCAGAUGUAUAAUUGAGAAAGAGGGACUGGAAGUCUUCUAGAACAACACCUACCCCUACCCUAACUCCCCCAAAGUAGCCUAAACAGGAAGCCAUCACAGAGAACUCUUAAAAACUGUGAUAAGGAUGCUACAGUUAGCUAUUCACAAUUGAUGGCUUCUGAAGUAGGUGGGGGAGGGGAAGGACUCAGUUCUGUUUAAGGAACAAGUCACUAAGAGUUUGACAAUGCUCCAGUGAGUAAAUAGAUAACAAAUAUUGGACUUCAAAUUUUUUAAUUUAAUUUUUUAUUUUCUUUGGGGGAGGAGGUCACAAAGGUAGGAGUCAGACAUGAAGUACUGGGAAAUGAAUGUGAAAUGUGAAGAUUUCAAAAAUUCAAUAAAUAAAAAAUAUUAUGUUGAAAUAAAA